rnacentral:rRNA from 1 species
UGAAAAUUUUAAAUGGCCGCGGUAAACCGUGCAAAGGUAGCAUAAUCAUUUGCCCCUUAAUUAGGGGCUGGCAUGAAUGGAUUUAACGAGAAAAAAGCUGUCUCAAAAAGAUUACUAAAAACUAUCCUUUAGGUGAAAAGACCUAAAUAAAUAUAGAAGACAAGAAGACCCUAUCGCGCUUUAUCUCUAACUUGCCAUACCUGGCAAACAAAGAUUUGGUUGGGGCGACCCAUGACACUCUAAAACGUCUACCCUAAUAAAGACCCACAUGUCUAAACUAUUGACCCUUCUAAGAUUAAAGAACAAGUCACCGUAGGGAUAACAGGCUAAUCCCCUCUUAGAGCCCUAAUCGACGAGGGGGGUUG